rnacentral:lncRNA from 1 species
GCUGAAUAAUCUUUUUAAUUUUUAUUUGAUUUCUUAUUUUCAAUUUUUUUAACUUUUUCUACUGGUUUUUUUGCGGGAAAUAUUUUUUUAAUAUUCGAUCACAGUGCCAAAAAUAUGCAUGUAAAAUUUUAGACCAAUCGGAAAACGUUUACCCACUCAAAUGAAUUUUUUUCUAAAAAAAUUUCUGGGUAAAAACUGUUGUUUAAUGUUUUUACAAGGAGAUCAGUUUAGAAAUCACCCAAGAACACCCAAAACGCCCAAAAUCUGAUACCAUAU